GCCGAAAGCGCUCUGCCGAAAGCGCUCUGCCGGUCUACGAUGAAGAAAUGUGCAAAGAAGAGAUAAAAGCAGCUGGUCUGACAUCUUCCACAGAGGUGAAGUAACCUAAAAAUGACUCAUUUCAACCUUCAUCUGCACACCUGUUACAGAGGUCAGGCUGGGGUCACAUAGUCUGAAGGAACCUCCUCCUUCUUUCACCUGUGCCAGACGCCCUGCUCAUCCACUGUGGUAGAAAUGACCU